UUCAAGUUUCUUACAUCUAGAUUUACUAUGCGUUAGGCGUAGAUAUUUAAGUAUUUCAAAUUUCAUGCACUUUUGUCUAGAUUGUAUGUCCGAUACACCCUUAAAAGGUUAUUGCAACAUUUAUUUUACUCAAAAAAAGACGAUUUAAAUUAAGAUAAAGUAGCGUGCAAAUAUGUAAAUAUGUGACGGGGAGGCAAGCGUUCUCUUCGAAAGAUCAACCGAUACAUAUCGAUUACGACAUUUUCAAGAUUCCUCGGCUGACGUUGCGCUCGGUAAGAGAGAUAUUAUACGUACAUAAGAAGAUAUAAAUGCCACCUGUCGCAAAGCGUAUUCACCAUCAACGCCUCGGGAGAAUAAAGAGAAAAGCGCACUCGAUUCAUCGGAGCCACGGUGGUACGGCCCAAAAUAGGUCGACGCUAAUACAGCCUCGGCCACCGUGGGCUACCUGGCUGGUUUCUUCUCUCUUUCUUUCUCAACGUCACUUUCCGCAGAACGGGUUCCUGCAGAUCGUUAUUGAAACGAACGACACGCCGGUCAACGGCAGGGGCGUAUCUGGCCGGACGCCUCGGGGUCGAGAGCGUCGUUCGGCGGGCUUUUCUUCACGGAGGAGGCGAGCGCGCGCGCGCAAAGUGGCGUGACGAGUGGCGGGACCAGAAUCUCGACGAGCGGCGAGCCUCUCACGUGUGGAGUAACUUAAAGUCGUAUCAAUCUCAUUUAUGCCAAUUUUCGUGUCUCGUGUGGUAGCCCCUGUUCCGGUGCGAGCGAGGGGUUUCCCCUCUUCCAACUAGCAGUCGCUGGCCGGCGAGAGCCAUCGUGCGAGUGUGUCUGCGAUGCGACACACGUUUUCGAGACAUUUUCAUGAUAAUCGAGAAGGGUGGGGUUUGUCUGGGGUGUCGUUGGUACCGCGACACGUUCCUGCGUAUGCAAAUCGCCGCGGUGGAAUCAGUAGCUACCACCGGGCCAGCAGGAACCGAUUUAUCGCGUCCUCCCCCGGAUCGAUUAUUCAUCGAUCGAACUCGUUUGUCGACUCGAUUAAUCUCCAUGAAAAAUGUGACGAUUUCCCGUGCCUCUCGUCCCGUAUCUAGAUAUAUAUAUAUAAGCGAGAACGAGAUAAUUUACGCACGGCCACGAGACUCGCGCGGAUAAUUGAUCGCUGUUUACCAAUGUUCCCCCUCCCGUUUGGAGGCAUGCGGCGAAAUCGUCGACCCCAUGUUUGUACGCAUAUUGAUUUUAACUACUCUUACAAGUUUUUACAUCAAAUAUCAUGUUAUACGGGCUAAUUAAAAUAGAUUUCCCACACGUGCUUUCAUUAUUGCCAAUUAACGGUGAUGCGAUUUGGCGCGCGCGCGCACGAAUUGAUACGCUUCUCAAUUAUUCUUAUUAGUAUAUGCCUUCGAAUUAAAUCCGUUAAUAGCGUCGAAUAUACGUGUAUCGUAGAUUAUUUUUAAUACCUCUCAGAUAAUUCGCGUGUGCGAGCAAGAGCUCAUGAAAAACCGUACUGUGACACACGAGCCAUAUCCAAGACGUCUAUAUGUAUUCGUACCCUGAACGAGCGUCAAGAACGAAGGGUACGCCGGGUAGUACCCUCGUCACGAUCGUCAUCGAGGUGACAGGUAAAUACAGAGAACCGGGCUCUACCCUCCCGAGGAUAUACAAUAUACGUUCACGAGCCAAGUAGGAGAAAGGAGAAGGGGUGGAUCGGACGAGGAGGAGGGAGGGGGGAAAGGGCGGAAGGGGGAGAGCAGGGGAGGGGUAUACGUUCGUAAACGAGAAUUAAAUCCGGGACGACGUUCCCGUUUAUUCGAGAUACACGCUCCUUGUUGUGACCCAUACGAAAUCGUGCGUGCGCGGCGACCGAGAGAGCGGGUAAUCGUUUAAACACGACGUUACGUAUUCUUUAAAUUCAGACUCAAGCGAGAAUCAAUGUUAAGAAACAGUAGCACCUGCGCCGAUAAAACCGAAAACGAACGAACUCUAUCGCGUAGACCUUGAUAACUGCUCGAUGAUCAAGAAAUAUAAUCCUGGAGAUUUUGCGCCGGUAACGAAAAAAAAUAUCUAGAAAAGAGCUUUUUGUUACAACACGUAGAAGGCACAAGAUGUGAAUAAGGGCGAGAGAGACAUGACGCAAUUCCCAUCCCAACUUUCAUAUCUCGCGAGGAUUCGGUGCACGAUUAUCGCCCGUGCCACUCGGCCCGAAAGCAAAGCCCCGAGUGCACGUUCGAUUUGUGCCGGCGGUUAACUUACUGCUCCUCCUCCUCCUCCUCCUCCUCCUCGACGAAGAAAUAAAAACGUCGCAUACGGACGCGCGUACGCACCAUUACGCACGCCGGACGCAUCUCGCCUACACGCACACACGCGCGUAUAUCUCACAUUCCACGCAGAGAGAAAGAGGCAACGCGUAUGCCGCCGAUUGGUCGAUCGCACGCACGUGUGCGUGCACCGCAGGAGGGAAAGGGGGCAGUUAUGCACAGGCCAAAGGCACAGAGGGACGCAGGAAAAAGCGCGUGCACGCACACGCAGCAACAGCAGCAGCAGCAGCAGCAGCAGCAGCGGCGGCGGCAUCGCCGGUGAUCUCCCUCUCGUUCACUCCCGGACUGCUCGAUCUCUCUUUUUCUCACUCCCACUUCCUCUCUUUCUCUUUCUCUUGCCGGCGCGAAGGGUGGAAGCCAUCUGCAUCGCGAUGAAUGCCACUAACCACCCUGCGAGUAACUCCCCCCCCCCUCUGUCCCCCACCUCUCUCCUCCUCCUCCUCCUGCAAAAUCCCCUUUCUACCUACUCUACGUUUCAACCCCGCUCGCUCUCUCUGUCGCAGGCUGGCCGGACAUGGCCGCGGGUUCUCAAUGCGCUCACGGUGGAAUGCGAAGUUACGCCGCAAGUAUAAUGCAGCGAUGAUCCUCGAUAGACACUUGCAACUUUGGAACAGGGGACGCAAAUCUGCUUAUUCGCGAGGUAUAAAUGUCUUGUCUCUCGGCUAUACGAAUCGGCAAAUUCGAUCGGCGAAUUCGCUACUCCUUUCUUCUUCUAUACAUUGCUUUGGUAUUUAGACUUGGUAAUUCGAAACUUUGCGCGGAUACACGAAUACUGGGACAUUCACCGUAAAACCAAGGAUCAAUCGGGCUUUUGUUAUUCAUACUUGCCGCUGAUGCGCAACUCGUCGAACGUCCUUUAUUAAACUCUUUGCAACUAUUGACGCCUUGGCAAUGAAACAACCGCCGUUUUCUCCAUAGCGAUUACCUCUCGCCUCCUGGCACUUGGCGCGAUCGAAGGGCACGAAAUCGAACGUUGCGAAGGCAAACGACGAAGGCCCCCGGCAUACCGCGUGCGCGGCGCGCACUUUUCUCAGCUUCGAAUUUAUUGUAUGCGCUCCAUCACACGGCGCGUAGACGCGCGCAUCUCUUCCACGACGAAAUAAUCGAUCGUUUAACUCUGACGCCGGCAGUUUAUCAUUAUCCCCGGUGCGAAACCGCGAGGUUUCGUCAUCGCUCACGUCUCUCGCGCCUUUAUUUUGCUCCUUGUUUCUCGAGGCGUGCGCUUUAUUAUCGCCGAGGCGAUGAUUUGCAAAAUAAGCCCUCCCCGUUCGUUUGACUUUCGCCAAGCUCGCGGGCGCAGGCGGUGCGACGUUUAUCAAGUGUACGAAUUAAAUUGCCGUUUUAUUACCCUUGAGGGGCGAGGUCGAGGGCAAGGGUGAGGACUCUCCCCCCCCCCCCUACCCUCCUUUCAUCCCCCGUUUGGUACGCCGGCGAAGAUUCGGUAUUCAAUGUUCGCUGAACUUCGCUGUCGCCGGAUUUUAAAGGUUCGAAAGGUGGAAAUUUGUUUCGUUGAUAUCUUUCUUCAAGACGGAUUACUCGAUUAAUAUUCACGGGAUAAUAUGAAAACUCUUCCUGUGUCGUAUAUGAGAUCUAUUCACUUCGUAAAAUUUUAUUUUAUGAUAACGUUUUACGAUACCCCGAUAGUUUAUGCGUUGUAACCUUUUUUUAUUCUCGCAUUAAGUGUGGGUAAUAGGCUAGAUGCUGUAUCACAAUUCAAUAUCUGUAACAUUCGAUACUAAGAUAAAUUUAUAUAGCUUUCUUUUUUGGGAACUCGUGUUAAGGAUCUUUUUCCCGCUUUGGAAGAUAGACUAAUCAUUGAUUAAAAAUGUAAUAUUUUAAAUUAUAAUAUUUCAGAAAAUUAUUCAAAAGCGGUAUAGAAUCUCAUCGAAAGGAUGCGUUAAAUAUGAAUUUCUAACCGAAAUUUCCAUCCCCGCUUCUCAAAGAUGUUUGCUUGACGGCCAGUUUUUCAAAGCGCGUCCGGGUGAACAUCUAUCCCGCGCGCAAUACUUCCGGAUGCGGAACACGAUUCCCGCAUUAUGCCGAGUACGCGGUCACGACUGUUACGAAUCGCCGGGCGAGCACCAUUCUAUAGCCCCCGUCGGAUUCUAAACACACCCUUUACAUACCGCGAAGUGAUAGGUGGGCGGAUUUAAGGGAUUGGCGACAAGAGGGGAAAUUCGGUCUGAUCGAUUAUACGUCACCCGGGACGUUUCUCGACCCGCGGUCGACGGUUAGUUUUACGGUGGAAAAUUUACGCGUGGUCGAUGACAAAAAUUUCCAGAGGGAAAUUUCAAGCGCUGGUAAAAUCUCAUCAAGAAAACGCGCAAAGGGGCUCGAAAGUUGCAAAAUUUCUCACAAUUCUCGAAGCUGCAACAAAUCAUCUACAUUAUAUAGUAUAAGACUGUAAAAGACAAAAGCUGUCAGAACGCGGAAUAUGAUGUGCACCUAGCCCAACCGGAGACAAGUCUUUGUGCGGAAGCACACGUCAUUACUCAUUGAUACGAGGCCACAGAGGAAUCAAUCUCGAUUUUCCGGCUCAUUCAUAGUGCAUCUAUUCGUCCCACUUGGAGGCAUUUACAUGUCCUAGAUUUAAAAAAAGCAGCGUCGCGCCGUGGAAGGAAGAUGGCGUCGUACCUCUCCCCUCGGGGUUCGCGGGGAGAAGGUAAAUUUUAAAGGUCUCUCUUUCUCUUCCUCCCCUGUGGCCUCUUUUCCUCCCGUCCGUUGACUCUGAACCACGGCAAUCACGACGCGUGCAAUUUUUAUGAAGUCCUCGCCGGGUCUUCGAGUCGUUGAAUAAUUCAGGGUCAAGGGGGGAAAAACGACGCUUGCGCGUUGAAUUUUUGGCCUCCGGUCGACCGGCGAACGCGACAUCGCCUUUUGACAAUUGCAGGACAUAUCAUUUGUAAUCCGAUUAAAACGCGCGGAAUAUAUGCACGCUAAAAUAUAUCGCGAUUCAGAAAUUAAUUUUAAAUUUUUGUUUAUUAAUUUGUUCAUUAUUGAUAAUAAGUAAUAAAGAAUGGCUUGCCAGGGCUUUCUAAAUGUCCGUGUUCUACAUUUUUUAACUUGUGUUUUUAAUAAUUGUAAGAGAAUUCGUUAUACGAGAAAUCGCUUAGCUUUUUAAGCACGAAUCUUCGCGAGUUGUUUUGGGCGGUCAAAAUAAUUUUCCAGUUAAUUAACGUGAGAGAAGAGGUUCACUUAGACAUUGCUGUACGACUAUUUAUUGGCACUCUGAUGGAGCCGGCAGAACAGAAAUCGUACGCGUAACGAGAGGAACGAUCUGUUUUUUCCGCGCUUAAUUUCUGGACUACUCUGGCGCACCCUUGGCCAUUAAUCACGGGUACGGUGCUACGCUCGGGUCCGCUCCGCAUGGCACUGUUUGCAAACCAGUCCGCAAUAAAGCGAUUCGACGUCGAUUCGCCACCACGUCGAAUUAUCCAGAUACCAUUUGCGAGCAAUAUACACCGGCCCCCGGCCCCGUGCAACAUAAUUUAUUCGCUGCAACUGACGGCCGCGUUACAACCAACGCUACCGCGUGAUUUUUCUGCGUAAACAGGGGUCAUAAAAGUUCAUUGGAAAAAAAUCUUCUCAUAAAGAGAACAAAAAAUAAGAAUAAAAAUCCAUGCAUAUUUAGGAUGUAAAAAUUGUAACAACUCCUAAGAAUUCUGAGAUUAUAAGAAAAAAAUCUUAAUAUUAAAAUACGACUAUACGCAGUAGCUUUUGAACGAAAAAGGUUUUACUUUAAUCCCGAACACGUGGAUCUAUGACGUGGAUCUAUGACAAUACAAAGUAAUAUCCAUUUAUAAUCAUAAAAACCAGCAAAUCUAUCUGCUUGGCUAUUUUAUUUAAAAAAAGUAGGUAGUAAAAGGGAUUCGAGAAACCCCAAAGUCAAGGAAGCACCAAUAUAUCACUGAAUGACAAACAGGUAAAAUCAUUCUUGAUGGACAACAUGUGAGUUUCUUUUGUAGAUUUACAAAUUUGUUAUUUAUUAUAAUAAAAAAUGCUGUUUUUAGUUAAAACAAUGACUUCUUUAAAAGUUUUAAUAAAUCGCUGCUUCCCUAUUUAUUAAUUAUCAAAAAAAUGAAAUGCCAAACAACGGACAGAGUUAAUUCCGCGUGUUUCAAGUUUAUUAAACAAAUAUUAAAUAAAUAAUGUUUCUCAAAAUAACUAUGCAAUUUUUAAUAUCACAAUGUUGACAAACAUUUUAUUAAUUUUUUCAGAUUUUUAAAAACACUUUAAGAUAGGAAAAAUGCCGUGAUAGAUAUGUAUUCAGGAAAAAAAUACUGAAAAAAAUACUGUAUUCAAGAUUAAAGUGGCAAAGUUAAAGGUGGCAAAGUAAACUAUCCAAAUCACCGGUAUAUUCAAAGUUAAUACAAAAAAAAGAAUUCAUACUUAGGAACAACACGCUAUGUCGUAAGUGAGGGCGCACAUUUUGAACAAUAAAAUAUUCACACUUUCAACUUUCUUUAAACAAACUAUUGUAGUCUUGAUAUUUUGGUAGAAUUUUUAUCUCAAGACGAUCUCAGUAAUCUACUCUUAAGCAAUAUUAUAACAGGAUAUUCUGUAUAUGUUUCUUUAAAAUAAAAAAUACAAUGGUUAAGUUUAUUUGUAUACCAAAUGUCAGUAAUAAGGAUUUGACUCUUAUUAGCUUUGGAGCUUCUUCCUGGUAUUAUCGUAUAAAGUACCAAUCAGCAAUCACGUACGUGCAAAGUAACAGAGAGAAGCGGAGAAGGGACGCUGCACUAAAGGCGAUACCUGCGAAGGUCUCUUAAGGAUCAAGGACACCGUUAUAAUCCGCUUCGGUGAUCCUGGCUUUGCCAAGCUCACCACUUGGGUACAUCUACGUGGAGAUUAAAUCUAGGAAGCCGAGAUUAGAAAGCGGUAAAGAGACACAACGGGACUGCACGGUUACUCAACGGGAGGUAACGGGUCUUUUCGGGGGAGCGAACGCGAUCAUUUUUUACGCGGUCUGUGUGCAAAACUCAUGCCUGAUUCGGGUAUACACGGAAACGACGGACUGUCCGGGCUUUACAUCGGCGGGCGUGCGGCGCGGCCUGAAGGAUCACGAUGACGAUAGCAGCCUUCAGAUAGGGAAAGAUAAAUGAAAAUCGAGUCGGGCAAAAACCGAUUGAUCCUAGCGAGAACUACCCCACCGAUCGCCACCGUCAAAUCGUGUUAGGAGAGAAAGAAGGUCGUAGGUGAGGCCUCGGAGCGAAGGUCGCUUCUCGGAGCCGAUGGACAUCGAUCAGAGAGCCGUCGUACGCGUCCGCCCGCUCGUCCGCGUAUCCCCUACCCCCCUCCCCCCUCGUUUUGGUCCCGUCCCGUCCCGUUCCGUCCCGUGCGUCGCCUUGAUGGAUGCGAGAUUACAGCGGCAGGGACACUCGUUGACACCCCAUGAUGUAUCACCGCAACCACCGCUUAGUAGCGCAGCUACUUACCGCGCCGAAUGGGGUGCAAGCCGCCGGCGUAAGCAAAGAAACGAAGAAAGGGCCAAGUCCGACCGCCCACCCCCUUUGGGCAAUGAAGUUUGCAUACUCUAUCAACGACACUGCGUUUCGCUCCCAUCGUUCUACCGCUCUGUAUCCGUGGCGUUUCGUAAUAGCGUAUUUCUCGACGCGCCAUUGCGCCCGUCGAAUUAAAUAAAAAAUAAGACGCGUGCAAUUUAUCACGGUCUACAAAACUUUA